rnacentral:rRNA from 1 species
UACGUAGGGGGCAAGCGUUGUCCGGAAUCAUUGGGCGUAAAGAGCGUGUAGGCGGCUCGAUAAGUCUGCUGUGAAAGUCCAGGGCUCAACCCUGGAAGGCCGGUGGAAACUGUCGGGCUAGAGUCCGGAAGAGGCGAGUGGAAUUCCCGGUGUAGCGGUGAAAUGCGCAGAUAUCGGGAGGAACACCAAUGGCGAAGGCAGCUCGCUGGGACGGUACUGACGCUGAGACGCGAAAGCUAGGGGAGCGAAUGGG